rnacentral:rRNA from 1 species
UACGUAGGCAGCAAGCGUUGUUCGGAAUUACUGGGCGUAAAGAGUGCGUAGGCGGUGCUCUAAGUCUGUCGUGAAAUCUCCCGGCUCAACUGGGAGGGUGCGGCGGAAACUGGAGUGCUCGAGUGUGGGAGAGGUAAGCGGAAUUCCUGGUGUAGCGGUGAAAUGCUUAGAUAUGACAUAGAACACCGAUAGCGAAGGCAGCUUGCUACACAAUCAUUGACACUGAGGCACGAAAGCGUGGGGAUCAAACAGG